CGGACGCGUAAUUCUUGCGGUGGAUCGACGUACAUCGUWACGAGUUUUUCCGCGUAAAAGUCAUGAUCACUCAAUAGAUAAAAUCAAACUAUAAUAGGCCACAACCGCCACGCCACAUCGAUUAAGGGUGCAAAUUGAAAAAGAUGUCUCGCUAUUAAUUACAGUUGCCGGUAUCAAAGUAUGCAGUCCAGAUGGCAAGGAAGUGUUGAUGGCUCACGGACUCUGGAGAGUAUCGUACGCUACGUGUGAUCCUGGUUGUAAACAGUUUUGUUUCCUGGCAAGACAACCGGGUGGUCAUAUCAACAAACAGUACUGUCAUUUGUUUGUUACAAAGACGGCUG